AUGUACUUAGUACAUGAACAGGAAUACACACAGGAGCAUCAGAACAUGAGCAGGAAAGAGCUAGGCAUCUAUACAAACCUCACCUACAGGAACAUGAGCAGAACAUCUAUAGAAAUCCCGCACACUACAUCUACAGAAAAUCCAGCACGUGUAGCUACAUCUACAGAAAUCUGCCAUGGAAUCCCGCAUGCUACAUCUACACCUACAGAAUCCCGCAUGUUAUAUCUACGUAGAAAAGGAAAACAACCGUUACAUCUACAAACUACAACAGGAGCACGCACGCGUGUAUCACAAGGCCCAGCAAAUCACACAUACCAGCGGCUGCAUCAGAUGGCGAGAGGGCGACAUGAACUGACCUAG
rnacentral:rRNA from 1 species